rnacentral:rRNA from 1 species
GAUGAACGCUGGCGGCGUGCCUAAUACAUGCAAGUCGAGCGAACGGACGAGAAGCUUGCUUCUCUGAUGUUAGCGGCGGACGGGUGAGUAACACGUGGAUAACCUACCUAUAAGACUGGGAUAACUUCGGGAAACCGGAGCUAAUACCGGAUAAUAUUUUGAACCGCAUGGUUCAAAAGUGAAAGACGGUCUUGCUGUCACUUAUAGAUGGAUCCGCGCUGCAUUAGCUAGUUGGUAAGGUAACGGCUUACCAAGGCAACGAUGCAUAGCCGACCUGAGAGGGUGAUCGGCCACACUGGAACUGAGACACGGUCCAGACUCCUACGGGAGGCAGCAGUAGGGAAUCUUCCGCAAUGGGCGAAAGCCUGACGGAGCAACGCCGCGUGAGUGAUGAAGGUCUUCGGAUCGUAAAACUCUGUUAUUAGGGAAGAACAUAUGUGUAAGUAACUGUGCACAUCUUGACGGUACCUAAUCAGAAAGCCACGGCUAACUACGUGCCAGCAGCCGCGGUAAUACGUAGGUGGCAAGCGUUAUCCGGAAUUAUUGGGCGUAAAGCGCGCGUAGGCGGUUUUUUAAGUCUGAUGUGAAAGCCCACGGCUCAACCGUGGAGGGUCAUUGGAAACUGGAAAACUUGAGUGCAGAAGAGGAAAGUGGAAUUCCAUGUGUAGCGGUGAAAUGCGCAGAGAUAUGGAGGAACACCAGUGGCGAAGGCGACUUUCUGGUCUGUAACUGACGCUGAUGUGCGAAAGCGUGGGGAUCAAACAGGAUUAGAUACCCUGGUAGUCCACGCCGUAAACGAUGAGUGCUAAGUGUUAGGGGGUUUCCGCCCCUUAGUGCUGCAGCUAACGCAUUAAGCACUCCGCCUGGGGAGUACGACCGCAAGGUUGAAACUCAAAGGAAUUGACGGGGGCCCGCACAAGCGGUGGAGCAUGUGGUUUAAUUCGAAGCAACGCGAAGAACCUUACCAAAUCUUGACAUCCUUUGACAACUCUAGAGAUAGAGCUUUCCCCUUCGGGGGACAAAGUGACAGGUGGUGCAUGGUUGUCGUCAGCUCGUGUCGUGAGAUGUUGGGUUAAGUCCCGCAACGAGCGCAACCCUUAAGCUUAGUUGCCAUCAUUAAGUUGGGCACUCUAAGUUGACUGCCGGUGACAAACCGGAGGAAGGUGGGGAUGACGUCAAAUCAUCAUGCCCCUUAUGAUUUGGGCUACACACGUGCUACAAUGGACAAUACAAAGGACAGCGAAACCGCGAGGUCAAGCAAAUCCCAUAAAGUUGUUCUCAGUUCGGAUUGUAGUCUGCAACUCGACUACAUGAAGCUGGAAUCGCUAGUAAUCGUAGAUCAGCAUGCUACGGUGAAUACGUUCCCGGGUCU